UUGAAACACUAGUUCCCAUAUGAUCACUGAAGUAAAGCAAUGACAAGUCUGGUCAGUACUUAGAUGGGUGACUGUUUGGAAAUACCAUGUGCUGUAA